ACUCUUUGGAAGAGCUUAAAGUCAUAACAGAAGAUGCAGUUGAAGUAGAUGAUGGGCUUAGUUAUGUGAGAGUUACAUUUACUCCAACAGUUGAACAUUGUAGCAUGGCAACAAUUAUUGGUUUGUGCUUAAGAGUGAAACUUAUGAGGAGCCUACCUUCUCGGUACAAGGUGGACAUUAGGGUAGCUCCUGGAUCCCAUGCUACUGAAGCAGCAGUAAACAAACAACUUAAUGACAAAGAAAGAGUUGCAG
rnacentral:misc_RNA from 1 species